AUGGCACCCGACACGCCGACGGCGGCCAAGAGAAGCAAGCAAGCGUCAUGCACGGCGGCCAGCCUGCCGGAAGAGAUCCUGUCCGAGAUCCUGCUGCUUCUCCCGUCCAGGUCCAUCCUCCGGUUUCGGGCCGUCUGCCGCUCAUGGGCCACCCUGCUCUCCUCCCCGGCCUUCAAGGACGUCUACGCCGUCAAGGCCCAUGCCCGUGCCCGGCGCAUGGACAAGUUCGUCGUCUUCGCACCGCCACCCAACGCAAACGGGUCCAUGGCGGUCUACUCCUGCGCCCGAGGCGCCUCCGUCGCGGAUCCUCUCCUUACCGUCGACCGUGUGCGCGUCGACUUCAUUUGCUUGUCGAGCAAGCCCUGCCAUGGCACCAUGCUCUUCUCGGACACCCGCUCCGGCGUCUAUUGGGUGUGUAACCCUAGCACCGGAGAGUGUGUCCCCUUGCCAAAGCAGCGCCGUGGCUUGAUGCAAUCGAGCGCCGGCCUGGUGUACGAUGAUCGGACCAAAGAGCGCAAGGUGGUCCAUCUCUUCAAGGAUAUGACGCAUUUCGGGUGCGACAUUUACGCGACCCCGGAUGGCCAGGACGCCAUUCUUUGCUUCUCCGUCGACACGGAAACCUUCACACGGCUCAACGCACCUUCAAGUGUGCACUUGGCAGCAGAGUACAAAGAAUUAGACGAGAACUUGCCAGCGGUCCCAAUGCAUCUAGCGGAGCUAGAAGGCUCGUUGUGCCUGGUCCAUGAUCUUCGCCGACGAGGGCAAGGUAGGAGCUGGCUAGAUGUAUGGAUGCUCAGGGAUCAUGCUGCCAAUGAGUGGUCACUUAGACUACCGCAUCGUUGUCACACCUGA
rnacentral:rRNA from 1 species